UACAAGGGGUGCUGGUGCAAGCCGGCUGAGAUACAGUGUACCGCCGCUGUGAUCCCUCGAACCUGAUCCGGAUAAUGCCGGCGUAGGAAUGUGGUCAUA
rnacentral:ncRNA from 1 species